CAGUUCGGUCCCUAUCUGUCGUGGGCGUUGGAGAUUUGAGGGGGGCUGCUCCUAGUACGAGAGGACCGGAGUGGACGUUCCGCUGGUGUUCGGGUUGUCAUGCCCAUGGCAUUGCCCGGUAGCUAUGAACGGAAGCGAUAACCGCUGAAAGCAUCUAAGCGGGAAGCGCGCCCCAAGAUGAGAUCUCCCGAGAGCUCGACUCUCCUUAAGGCACCAUCUAGACCAGGUGGUUGAUAGGCGCGAUGUGGAAGUGCAGCAAUGCAUUGAGCUUACGCGUACUAAUGAGCCGUGAGGCUUGACCAUAUAACCCCAAG
rnacentral:rRNA from 1 species